rnacentral:rRNA from 1 species
UUUUAGAAAUUAAUUUGAAGUCUAACCUGCCCACUGAAUAAUUUUAAAUGGCCGCAGUAUCCUAACUGUGCAAAGGUAGCAUAAUCAUUAGUCUUUUAAUUGAAGGCUGGAAUGAAUGGUUGGAUGAAAUAUUAACUGUUUCAUAUAAAUUUAUAAUAGAAUUUUAUUUUUUAGUCAAAAAGCUAAAAUAAAAUUAAAAGACGAGAAGACCCUAUAAAUCUUUAUAUUUAAAUAAUUUUAAUUAUUUAGAUAAAUUAAAUUAUAAUUAUUUUAAAUAUUUUAUUGGGGUGAUAUUAAAAUUUAAUAAACUUUUAAUUUAUAAUAAACAUAAAUUAAUGAAUUAUUGAUCCAUUUAUUAUGAUUAUAAAAUUAAGUUACUUUAGGGAUAACAGCGUAAUUUUUUUAGAGAGUUCAUAUUGAUAAAAAAGAUUGCGACCUCGAUGUUGGAUUAAGAUAUAAUUUUAGGUGCAGUAGCUUAAAUUUAAAGUCUGUUCGACUUUUAAAUUCUUACA